UACGUAGGGUGCAAGCGUUGUCCGGAAUUAUUGGGCGUAAAGAGCUCGUAGGUGGUUUGUCGCGUCUGCUGUGAAAACCCGAGGCUCAACCUCGGGCCUGCAGUGGGUACGGGCAGACUAGAGUGCGGUAGGGGAGAUUGGAAUUCCUGGUGUAGCGGUGGAAUGCGCAGAUAUCAGGAGGAACACCGGUGGCGAAGGCGGGUCUCUGGGCCGAAUACUGACACUGAGGAGCGAAAGCCAGGGGAGCAAACAGGG
rnacentral:rRNA from 1 species